UGAGGAAUAUUGGUCAAUGGACGAGAGUCUGAACCAGCCAAGUAGCGUGAAGGAUGACUGCCCUAUGGGUUGUAAACUUCUUUUAUACGGGAAUAAAGUGAGGCACGUGUGCCUUUUUGUAUGUACCGUAUGAAUGAGGAUCGGCUAACUCCGUGCCAGCAGCCACGGUAAUACGGAGGAUCCGAGCGUUAUCCGGAUUUAUUGGGUUUAAAGGGAGCGUAGGCGGACGCUUAAGUCAGUUGUGAAAGUUUGCGGCUCAACCGUAAAAUUGCAGUUGAUACUGGGUGUCUUGAGUACAGUAGAGGCAGGCGGAAUUCGUGGUGUAGCGGUGAAAUGCUUAGAUAUCACGAAGAACUCCGAUUGCGAAGGCAGCUUGCUGGACUGUAACUGACGCUGAUGCUCGAAAGUGUGGGUAUCAAACAGGAUUAGAUACCCUGGUAGUCCACACAGUAAACGAUGAAUACUCGCUGUUUGCGAUAUACAGUAAGCGGCCAAGCGAAAGCGUUAAGUAUUCCACCUGGGGAGUACGCCGGCAACGGUGAAACUCAAAGGAAUUGACGGGGGCCCGCACAAGCGGAGGAACAUGUGGUUUAAUUCGAUGAUACGCGAGGAACCUUACCCGGGCUUGAAUUGCAACUGAAUGAUGUGGAGACAUGUCAGCCGCAAGGCAGUUGUGAAGGUGCUGCAUGGUUGUCGUCAGCUCGUGCCGUGAGGUGUCGGCUUAAGUGCCAUAACGAGCGCAACCCUUAUCGAUAGUUACCAUCAGGUUAUGCUGGGGACUCUGUCGAGACUGCCGUCGUAAGAUGUGAGGAAGGUGGGGAUGACGUCAAAUCAGCACGGCCCUUACGUCCGGGGCUACACACGUGUUACAAUGGGGGGUACAGAAGGCAGCUACACGGCGACGUGAUGCUAAUCCCUAAAGCCUCUCUCAGUUCGGAUUGGAGUCUGCAACCCGACUCCAUGAAGCUGGAUUCGCUAGUAAUCGCGCAUCAGCCACGGCGCGGUGAAUACGUUCCC
rnacentral:rRNA from 1 species